rnacentral:lncRNA from 1 species
UACCGCUGCAGUUUGUAGGCGGUGGAUACCCAGGAUAGUGUAGAAUGCAUUUACACUCGUGCUGAGAUGCCGAGCUUAUUGUUUUUACAGCGGUAUUUAGGCUGUUCCGGACUGUCGGGUGCCGUUGAGAUUGACGGUGGAGCCGGAUUGCUGUUUUUGCAUCAGAUUGUGUCGAGAGAACGUGAGUUUAGUUGUUAGACCCUGUUUGCUUUGACUAUAGCCUGUGAGAGCCUGAUUGAUCUCGGCAGAGAUACGCUUGCAUACUCGGUUGGGUAGCGCCCACGAGUGCCACUCCGGAGUUGGGCUUAGUGCUGUUGCGUUCGUGUCGUUGUGUCCUGAUUGGACUCGCUCUCCACUGACUACCCAGCGUCGUGGUUGUUAGUGUAGCUUCGACAGGCGGAACGGGUGUAUUCAGUCCCCAUUGAGAUUGGGUCAGAAAUUGCAUUAUUCUACAGAUAGUUAGCAUUGGAUCAUGAUAGUAUAGUGGAAUAUAGCUGUAAAUUGUUUCCAGUUCCUUUACUAUCAUUGAGCAUACUUUCUGUAGACUUAGUGGGUGAGCCGUUGAGUUUGGUAGCGGCACCCAAUGAGGACUACUUUUUGCAGUAGUUCUCACAUCCAGUUAUGGAUCCUUUUUGCAGAGCCCUCUUCUUAGGCUGCUGCUGUCGUGGAUACAGAUCGUGGAAAGGGAGUCGCGAGUUAGAUCCCUUCCCGUGUUGCUGCUUAGCUAGAGAGUUACCAGGUACAGGUAGUUGUAGUUUUUGGUUUUUAUACAUACUGAUAUUGGUUUCUCGCCGGUGCAAGCAAUUUUGUAUCAGGAUACAAUGCAUGUAUGUUGAACCGAUGUUAUUUAUAUAUGUGUUCUCUUAGCAGCUCUAUACUACAGGUUGUAGGUAUGUUUACAGGUACAGGUACAGCCAUCGCUUCGUAUACAAGAAAAAUUCCUAUAUAUACGGCAGGUCUAUUAGCGUGCCCGGGGAAACGAGUAAUCCGCGGCGUGAUAGAUAACAAACCAGAGGUACAUAUGAAAACGUCAGGACUUUUGCAGGAAUAACAUAUGAAAGUUGAACUUUGAAGGGAUAUAUUUGUCUUUCAUUAUGUUUGCAUGGACCUGUAUAAAAUUAACCCAUUAAUAAAAUACCAAAAUUGUCGUCAAGCAAAACUUGAAAUUUGCUUCAGUCCCAUUCUUUUCUUUCCUUUUUUUUUCUUCCGUUACUCUUUCCUUCCCACUGGCCACUACCGCUUAGAGUCCUACCCUCGUUUCCUCUGGCCGAUGCCGCUGCCACUGCCACACAGCUCUAAGCUGCCACUCCUGCUCCGACUCAACACUGCUGCUAGAUUAGGACUCAAAAGAAGAGAAUAAAGACAAUUGAAGGAGAUGAGCAAACGAGGAACCCGAGAAAGAGAAUAGGCUCCAAUUAAAGUCCAAAUCCAACCGGUAAACGAACUCGUUACUUGAAAACUGCAUGCGGUCGCCUAUACGCCCGCGUAAUACAAGGUAGGCAGCAUAUAGGAUCGCAUCAUGCAAGCUGUGCGAUUUAUUCACUGCACCGCCUAGGCUAGAACACCUUUUUCGAACAUUGAAAAAUUAUUUAGGCAUCUUUAAUUAGCUCUACUACCAUCUCUUAAAAAGCUCUGGCCAAGACAAACAUGCUCUAAUUUUUGCACCUUAAUCCAACAUAAAUUAGUUUGUGAAAGAGAAUUAUAUUCUCAAUGGUUAACUAUCUAAAGGUCUUUGAGACAUUAUAAAUCCCCUACAUAAGGCUAAAUGAUAUAAUAAGUAACUUGUAAUCACCUUGGCAUUGUUUGGUAAUGGAAUUAGCUGGGGAAUAACCUCUUAUCCCCCAGCUAUUCCCCAAACAACUUUUUUGGUGGUGGGAACUAUUGGGAUAAGUGAGCGGGGGGUAGGAACAACACCCUUUUGUCGUUGUGUGCCCGGAUCUGAAUUUUUCCAAAAUUACCCCUGCAAGCGGCUUCUUCUUCCCCUUUUCGUCACAAGGUAAAGCUCUCUCUCUUGCUCUUUCUCGCCUACAUCCUGCAGCUGGUCCCCUCUCUCUACCUUAUCUCACCGAGCUCCUCUCCCGCCGCGGGGUUGUCUCUCUUUACGGCCUCCCCUUCCCGUAAGUCCUCUUCUUCUCUUCGCCUUCGGUCGUCGGCGCCGAUGGUUUCCCCAAAGCUUGUGGGUUUGCGAAAGGUGCGAUCCAAGGCCGGAUCUGCACCGCCGGUAGCUUUCCGACGGGCUUUCUUGCACCCCUACACCCACUCGACGUGGAUCGAGCCUUUUUCUUUCUCUCUACCUCACCUCACCUCACCGAGCACCAUCUCUCCUCCUGCCGAAUCCUAUCUCUCCACCUACCCCUCCCGUGAGUCAUCUCCCUCUCUUCGCCUCCGCCCGUCGGCGCCCGUGGUUUCCCUAAAUCCAGUGGGUUUGCGACAGCCCUGGUGCGAUCCAAGGGCGGAUCUACACCGCCGAUGGGUUUCCGGCGGCCUUUCUUGCAGCGCUCACCUCACCGAGCUCCCUCUGCCCUGCAGCCGGUUCCGCCCUCUCCACCUGCCCUCACCGAGCUCCCUCUACCCUGCAGCCAGUUCCGCCCUCUCCACCUGCCCUCACCGAGCUCCCUCUCCCCUGCACCCGGUUCCGCUCUUUCAACCUCUCUCCCGUCAGUCCUCGAAGGUAAAACUUACCGAAGCUUGUUGGUUUGCAAAAUCGUUGCCUCAAUCGAUUGCGUUCUAGUGCCACUGUUGUACUCCUGCUCUUGCUCCCCUACUGGUACUCAAAAGUAAAACUUACCUGUUUGUUUCGACAUUAAUACUUGUAUGGAUUUUAAGCUUGAUUGUGGGCAUUUGAAUUUAAAUGAUGGAAUACAUGUGUAUAGCGAUCAGUUUGUUGAUUGAUUGGCAAUGAUGCAUGUUUCCGUUACCAUUAGUU